rnacentral:rRNA from 1 species
UACGGAAGGCAGCAGUGGGGAAUAUUGCACAAUGGGCGAAAGCCUGAUGCAGCUAUGCCGCGUGUAUGAAGAAGGCCUUUAGGGGUUGUAAAGUACUUUCAUCGGGGAGGAAAAACAAAACUAAUAAUUUUAUUUCUUGACGUUACCCGAAAAAGAAGCACCGGCUAACUCCGUGCCAGCAGCCGCGGUAAUACGGAGGGUGCUAGCGUUAAUCAGAAUUACUGGGCGUAAAGAGCACGUAGGUGGUUUUUUUAAGUCAGAUGUGAAAUCCCUGGGCUUAACCUGGAACUGCAUUUUGAAACUGAAAUACUAGAGUAUCGUAGAGGGAGGUAGAAUUCUAGGUGUAGCGGUGAAAUGCGUAGAUAUCUGGAGGAAUACCUGUGGCGAAAGCGGCCUCCUAAACGAAUACUGACACUGAGGUGCGAAAGCGUGGGGAGCAAACAGGGAUUAGAUACC